UUCCAGUUCAUUUUUGGUGGUUGUAGCACUGACUGGGAGGCAGCUCCAGGUCUAGAAUGUUCCUGACCCGUUGUCCUCAUCAGUAACACCUGACCUAACUCAUCCAUUGUUCUUACUCCCACAUUUCUCACCAGUAAGAAUUCACUCAGCAUUUUAAUCCAUUAAUUUGCCGCUGCUGAGCCAGUUCUGCCUCAGAGAUAACCACCCCAGACGCCAAGGCCCUGAAAGAUUGCUGUCUGAGAAGUUUAUUGGAUAAUGAAAUAAAAAAAUCGUCUCGAAUACCAGAUGUGCAAGGCAUUUUAAGAACAACUAGGCCCAAAGUUUACAGAGAGCUUUUCUGUCAGUGCUCUGAUCUGAUCAACAUAACACAAAUCUUCUUAGGUGGUUAUGAUGGGAAGUCAUCGUAUUUAAAAUGAUUGAGAAACUCAGGCUUAUAAGGCAACUGCGAUCCAGUUAGCUGAUGCAGCGGCUUUUGUCCACUCUGUGCGGGUACUUUGGCCUGUAGAAGUGCUUUGAAUUCUGCCUAAGACUAACCACCAACUACCCGGAUAAAGCCAGCAACAGAAAUCUAAAUAUGGACACCAGGUGGGCCAUCUGUUUGGAGCCUGAUGCUGGGUGAUUCUCCUCCCUCUUUCUUCCCCUUCUAUAUUUAUCCCAUCAAUUUUUGAGAUGGGAAGUAUAUUUCCAUACUAAAAAAAAUAUUAUCCGGGCUUUUAUAAGUUCUCUAGAGCUUCCCUGGUGGGUCAGUGGUAAAGAAUUUGACUGCCAAGCGGAAGAUGCAGGUUCGAUCCC